rnacentral:misc_RNA from 1 species
AACGCACCUUGCGCUCCCGGCAGAUCUAAUCUGGGGAGCAUGCCUGUUUGAGGGCCGCGAAUUGUUUCGAACGCCCGCUUUCUUCUUUGUGAGAAGGCGGACGGAUCGGUAUUGAGGAUCUUGCCAUUUACCAUGGCUUCCUCGAAAAGCAUUAGCGCAUCCAUUCAAUAGGCAAGACGGACGAAAGCUUGCAUUUCGCCCUGUUCUUCCCUGCCGGGUUUUGAUAAUAUCAGGACUUCGGAGGUGAAGAGAGGGUGUAGGCUGGACGCAACGACUUGCUGGUUGGAGUGCUUCUAACCCCGCCCAUGGCCUCUUCGGAGGAAAGGGAUUUUUCAAUUCAUCGGCCUCAGAUUGGUAGGACUACCCGCUGAACUUAA